rnacentral:rRNA from 1 species
ACGGAGGAUGCGAGCGUUAUCCGGAUUCAUUGGGUUUAAAGGGUGCGUAGGCGGACUAUUAAGUCAGUGGUGAAAUCCUGCAGCUUAACUGCAGAACUGCCAUUGAUACUGAUAGCCUUGAGUUUGGUUAAGGUAGGCGGAAUGUGUAAUGUAGCGGUGAAAGGCUUGGAUCUUACACAGAGCACCGAUUGCGUGGGGAUCUUACUGAGCCGACACUGACGGUGAGGCACCUAAGUGUGUGGUUAGGUCAG